GGAUGAGCCCGCGGCCUAUCAGCUUGUUGGUGAAGUAACGGCUCACCAAGGCAACGACGGGUAGCUGGCGUGAGAGCGCGAACAGCCACACUGGGACUGAGACACGGCCCAGACUCCUACGGGAGGCAGCAGUGGGGAAUCUUGCUCAAUGGGCGAAAGCCUGAAGCAGCGACGCCGCGUGAGGGAUGACGGCCUUCGGGUUGUAAACCUCUUUCAGCACAGACGAAGCGAAAGUGACGGUAUGUGCAGAAGAAGGACCGGCCAACUACGUGACAGCAGCCGCGGCCG
rnacentral:rRNA from 1 species